rnacentral:lncRNA from 14 species
GCUGGAGCCUGUCGGUCUGUGCCCGGCGGGGCGGUGGCGGAGCGGAGGGCGCCAGGAGAAGAUUUCAGGAUUUUGGAGAAGGCCAAGAAUCUACCUGUGAAUCCCUAAAACAUCAUGGUGCCUCCUACCAUUGCACCUCUGCUGCUUUGUUGCCAAUGAAGCCGUGUUGCUAUUAAUGAGACCUUCCCAACCGUGGCUACCUCCUGAACGCCUCCACACUGGGAAAAUCCCUGCAGAAGGUGAUUUGUGGUAAAGAUUCUGUCCCAGGGCUAGGUCCUGUGUGUUCAGCACCCUGUGCAACGCUUGGAGGUAAGUGCUAUCAAGGUUGUGUGGAGCUGUGCUUUGGGCAAUGGCCAAAGACUCUUUAGUCAGCUUGUGUGAGCCAGAGAACAAAAGUGUUUUGUCUUGGUUAGUGAUUGUUUUUGGCUCUUGAUGGAGUUAAAAUGUUUUCCCAUGAAGGUUCACUUUGCUUCUUCAGUUCCUGGAGAGAAUUUCUAGGAAGAUCCUGUG